rnacentral:lncRNA from 1 species
GCAAUGGCGCCAAAAAGCUUGUUGACAUUUGCUAACACCACUUGAAUACUAGGUUGUCAUCCCCAGCAUGGCACUAGAGUGUACUAUGGUAUUUAUACGCACACAGAUAAAUCCGCAAGCGCACUGAUACCGUUAUAGCUUUUACCCGGUUAAAGGUUUUAUCGUAUCCACAGGGAAACGUGAGAACCAACUACGCUCUAACUUAACCAAGAUAGAUAGAUAGGUGUAAAUAGGAAAAAUGGUAGAAUUGAAUAAGAACAAUAUUAAAGGUAAGAUAGGUGAUAAUAGGGGAAUAGAGAGUA